rnacentral:lncRNA from 1 species
CUAAUGAUAUAUCUCUUGGUUCUGCAGCUCAUUUGAUGCCAUAGUUAUGGACUUCCCAGCGGCCGAGCACAACGACAAGUGCAGCUGCAACCCCUGCAGCUGUCCAGACUGUGGCUGCAACAAUUGAACACAUACAUCUGUUAUUUCAACUAGCACAGCUAUGUGAACGCCAGUAAUAAUGUAGCUGUGUUUGAAAAAAAAAAUAGUGUCUGUUUUAUGUUCAAAACCUCUGUUCUUAGCAAGAGGUAUGUUAUGAAUAAUGUUUAUUUCUGUUCUUCACCCACAGUCAUGUAAUGUUGGUCACUUCUGUGUCCAUGGAGUUAAUGGAUAAGUUAUACUAGUACACUCUCUUCCUCUCCAUCCAUUUUCAUUUUUGUUCCAUCUCAUUCUUUAUUCAAAUCGAAUUCAUGUUUAUAGAAUCAAUGAAACAAUCUAGAUGAGCUUCAGUACUUGGGAGAAACGUUACAGUAUAGAUAUUGUCUGUAUUUGAUAAUAAUAUCCAGACUCAAAAGGUCAGGUGGAAUGACAAAGGCUUAUAAAUUGAAAUAAUAAAAACUUUCAAAAUCUUGUGGAGAAUCAGUAGGCAGCCGAGGCACACUUACAAAAGCAUUGUCUUCAAGAUCUUAUUUGCUUUACAUCAGCUAUAAGCAGCCCACAACGACCAUCGUCCCAGCAGAAUAUAAUAUCAAAUUUCGGCAAAACAAAAACUUUAAACUAAACUCGAAUGUGGCAAACCGCUUAAACAUUUGUUCAACUCAACUCAAGAUUAUAAGGAAGGGGAAAAAAAGAGGAACACUUCAAAUUAAAAUGAGAUACUCCAAGUGAAGAAAUAAAUUGGUAUUAACAUGCUAACAACUUAGUAAGUUUCCAACGUAUAAAAUAAAAUGAAAAGAAGUACAAAAUUGAAACAUUCGUCAAACAUAACUCAAUUGAGUUGUUACUUAACCAAAUUCAAACAUAAUUCAUUAGAUGGAAGAAACUACAAAUUUAACAUAUGGAAGUUAAAAUUGUAAAUGAAACAACAACCAUUUUGAAUCCAGUUUGAAUGUAAUAAACAACCAUUGAUGUUCCAAUCAAUAACUUACUCUCGCCAUAUAAAAAAUAUCUAACAAUGCUACAGAAAAGAACAAAUCUAACUGAACAAUUGCUUCAAGAUUGUUCUGUUAUGCUGGUUCUAAUCAAUGCAGUCAAAUGCCAAUUCAUUUAUUUUCAAAACGCAAGCCUAGAAAGCAUAGUUAAUCACAGACCAUAGUAUCUUCUGUCACUUUUGUCUCUCUUUUCUUGGGUAGGAAUUAGGACACAGUAUCUUCUCAAACUUCUUCAUCAAUACAAGACCAAGGGACAAUAUUAGGGACACCACUGAGGUCUAAUGCAAGGAGACCCACUCUCUCUUGUUCUUUUCACAUUGGUGGUGCAUUGUCUCAGCAGGAUGCUCAUGAAGAGCAUCAACUCAAACAUGAUUGAAGGCUUAGGUAUUAAAAACUUGGGUCUUUCAAUUAAUUUCUGGAUGGCACAAUUCUGAUAUCUUCAUCAUACUAAAAGAAAAGCUUACAAGACUAUUUGAGAUCAUCCUAUCUAUUAGCAAAGUUUGUUCUCCGGCUAAACAUGAUUGAAGCCGGUUAAUUCUUUACCACUAGCUAAUCCAAAAGUUUUGUUGAGGAAGAGCUUUAUAUUUAAAAAUAGAAAAACUGAAAGCAAUAUUGAUAUUAUAUAUGCUAAUUUGUAUAAAAUAUAUUUUAUAACCAGCAUAGAGUUGAGGAGCUCCAACUUCAUGGACCUUAACUAAAUCAACCCUUGCUUUAGCUGAAGCUUUUUGGAAAGUCAUCCACAAUUCACAAAGCCCACAUAAUCUUCUUUUCUAGGUGGCGCUUAGCAAAAAUAAUUCACCAAUUCAAUGAAUAGAAACUCUAAGCGUAUUUUAUAGGGUGAUAUUUACGUGCAGACUGAAAUACAUUUAUCUUCGUACAUCCCCUUUGAUAAAGAUAUACACACAAAAAGAUAAUUAAAACUUGCAUCACUUUUAGAGUUAAUAAUAAAGUGUUGAUUGAUAUUUUAAAUAAUUACAAAUACAACCAAAUCUAUAAAAGCUCUAUUGUUGGACGAUAUAAUUUUAUCACAAACAGACUUCGAGAACUAGAUCUAGAUUUUGUUAUAACUUCAAAUUCUCAAGUUCUUUUGUAUUGCGUUAUCUGUUAAUAGUUUAAGCCUAAAUCCUAUAUUCGUAAUUUAUGAUUCAACACUUGAGCAAUCGCACAAAGAUAGAUGUAAUCCAACAUACAUUACAUAUAUUUAUCUAUCAUGUAUGGUCAUCAUGAUGAUUCAGAAUUGAAAAGCUCUAACAGUAGGCAUGUCCAUUUACAGCUUGCCCUUUUCAAUUGGACUAGGACCAACUUAUUGUGAUUAUCUAGCUACACCUUGUGUAGGAUAAAAUUCGAGUUUAAUCAAUUCAAAUGAUUGGUUUAAUAUUACUGAAGUCUACUACUACAAGGUCCGGUUCAAAACUUCAGAUCCAACAAUUCGAGAAUUGCAUAUUUAGAGCAUAUGACAUGAUAUGGAUGCAGAAUAAAGAAGAAAUAGUAAGAAAUUUUGAAUAAUAUGAGGAAACUAAUACAGUAAGUCAAUAACAAAGGCCCGAGCCUACAAAAAUACGAAGCCAAAUUGUACUUACUGCAUUGCAGCUUUGGCUAUACCUCCUUUCUCUCACUUUAUUUCUUAAUUUUCUUUGGUAUCUGUAUCUCUCAAAUAGCUAAAUUGUAAACUAGCAGAAAAUCAAAUCUUUCAUUUUAUUAGGUUAUCAAAUUCAGACGUUGAAUCCUUCCGCCCGAAGACACUUACGAUGAGCCUCGAUCCAUUUUCCACAUGCUUCUUCACCAUGCUCCACUAUGCACUCAUCUCUAAGCUUCUUAGUAUCGGGACAAGCACAACAUAUCUUCUUUUUUGGUUUUCCAUCUGGGGUAGACUUGAUCACUGUUGACGCUUGGUCAAGUUUCGAUUCCGGCAACGCUAUGGCUGAUGAAGAAUUUACAACAGGUAAACCACCCAUGCCACAAUUUCUCAAGGAAUGCAGUCUUAAGAAAAAGGGAAGGAAAUCCUGAAAACUGCAAGCAGAAAAAUAUGAUCAUGAAGAACAUCAAAUUAUAUCAUGGUAAAUCUUACUUAAUGGGCUACUGAAUCAUAAACUAGUGGGGGUGGUGCCUCUCUAUGUACAUAAACUAAUUGAAACCAGUUGAGAUAUGCUUAGAUUUACAAAUUUCAUAUUUUACUUGAACUUGAAGAGAGUCAUCAAAUAAGAAAACAGAAGACAAGGACCUUCAAUGAAACACAUCCAAAACACCCCAACUCAACUAUACCACAAAUAAAUCAUCUGAUCUUCCUAUUUGAUUUCUCAUCAAACAACCGAUAUACUGGAAAGAUAAAAUUCCAUAGAGCCAAAAGUAAGAACCUGAAAACAAAGUAACAAUCUUGUUUGCUAAAACGGAAAAUUUUUCUUACAGGCAAAAAUUCUGGCAGCGAAACGGAGAAAACCAGUAGGGUGAACAAGAAGCAGAGAAAAAUUGGAAGCUUACUUUUUGAACCUACAGGCAGACGAUUCCCUAGAAACCCAUAGUUGAAGAAAAAAGGAAGAAUAGAGCUUUAGACAGCGUCUAAUCAAAGCAAUUCAAAGAAAUUCUAUAUCUAUACUACGGAUAAAAUUAGCCAAAAGGGAGAAUCUUUAGGUUCCUUUAUGUGCAUAUUUGAGAAAUUUUGAAAUUUUUAAGGUCACUUUUGUCCGGUGAUUUAAAGUAUGUUUGAGGGUGAUUGUUGGAGUUAUGAUUUUAGGAAAAGAAAUUUAGAUACAAUUGAUUUUGUAACAUUGAUAUUUUUUAGCAAUUAAACUACGUUUGGUUCCACAUUUUUUUAAGUGAUUUUCAAACAUUUAGAAGUGAUUUCGAAUUGUAAUGUUUAAUUCCAAAAGUGAUUUUGAACUACUAACUUACUAAAUAGGAUAUUUUAUAUUUGAAAAUUUAUAUAACUAAAUAAAAAUAAUAAUAAAUAUGCAUGACAAAAAUAAAACAAAAUUCAAAACAUAUAUCACAUUCAAUCUAGAAAUGUUUGUAUAAUUGCAAAUACUUAAACUAGAUAUUAUCUUGAAACACAAAUCAUAUAACAAAGACAACAAAACAUAAGAAAUUGCAAUAAUUUCCCACUCCUCUUCCAUCUCCCUUCCAUGGCAAGAAGUUUCACUAUCUUUAACAAAACUUAAUGUUUCUGUCAUCACUUGCUUGAUAGCUAAUGAAAGAAAUGAUGCAAUGUGAAGUGUCAGAAGUGUCACAACAACAAUCUUCACCCGUUUGUCAUUAAAAAUGAUAUAUAUGAAUAAUAAAUAAAACUUUGACAGCAAACAACUUCAAGAGGACAAAUGAACAAACAGAAAAGAAAAAGCCAGAGCCAAAAAAAUAAUAAUAAAUAAACUCUAAAACACUCAAUUUAAAAAAUGACUUCAGAAGAGAGAAUUUAUGCUGAAGUUGUUGCAGGAAAGCAAACUCCGUAUCGUUUCAACAAUUUAUCAUUUUGCAAUUCAAUAUCAAAUUUUCAAAGUUCAAUAAAUGGAAACUACAUCAUAGUUCAAUUAGAGAACCAUCAAAAGCAAAUAAAACUACGAAUAAAGCUUAAGGGUGCUUCCAAAAUUUGAAGGCAUAAGCUUGCUAUUGCACAGGACUUGAUUCUAAGAACUCAAUUCUUCAAAACCGUUCACCAACAAAACACCAGACACAACUGAACUGGGUAGGAUGAUGUGGACGAAAAAUAUCAUGAGACGAAGUACUAAUACGUUAAUAACCCAUGUUAGAGAAUUGAUUAACCCAUAUGAUAGAUUUGCAAAAACAAUCCAAGGGUUUAGAGUCCCUUGCUUGAUAGCUAAUGAAAAAAUUUCAAAGAAUAAAAGACCACGUAGACUAACUUGAUUUUUCAAUCAGGAACACAAUCAUAAACAGAGCCCACGAAAAUUGGGGCAAUUUGACUGAUUACGAGAGAACCUAAUUGGAGUAGCUCCGACGAGUUUUAUCAAACAGUUUCACAGAAUCAUAAAUUCUCCAACAAUUUCAGCAUAAAUUCUCUCUUCCGAAGUCGUCAAAUUCACGAAGCAUUUUAUCAAACAAAUUCUAGGUAGCAAUCACAAAUGGGGUUCAGUAGUUAAAGCAUAUAAAAUCAGCAUAAACACAAUAAUCAAUCCCCCCUCUUAUAAACAUUACAACAAAUGAAAAUUGAGACACGCCCACAAAAGAAUCGGAACAGCAAGACACGACCCACGUUCCAAUUUGCCACAUAGCGUUGUUAUUAGGCUAUGAAAACAAAAUCAAACAACCACUCCAUUUUUUACUUUUUUUUUCAUUGAGAAAAUCCUAAUUAAUGCUUUUCAAGCGAGAAGAAAGACGGAGCUGGAGAUUGGGAUAAUACCAGAAACAAAGGGAGAUGAAAAUAAAUGCAAAAUCACUUGAACGGAGGCCGGGGCGGCACGAGCGGAAGAAAGACAGGAGCUGCCAGCUGAACGGGAGGCAGGGGCUUCGGCUUGUAGGAGAAGAAAAGAGCGUGGGGUAGGAGUACGGUAAGUUGACGAUUAUUACCAAAAAUUUUGGUUUGGAAAAAUGGACCAAUGUGAACCCAAAAAAUAAUAAAGAGUAAAUUUUCAUAAAUACACCCAAAAAAAAUAGAUGCAAACAGAGGAAUUAGAUUCAAAAUCUAAAAUGCUCUCAUACAUCAUAAAACAUUAUAAAUAAAUUAUGUUAUAUUUAUAAUUUUUUUUUAUAAUUAACCUAUAUUUACGUCGUGGGUAAUAAAAUCAAAAAAUUUAGAAGGUCGGUAAAUCUUUUUCAUAAAUUUUAUAUUUGUCUUUAAUAUUUUCAAAGAUUCGUCAUUUCUCUUUCUUCUUUCUCAAAUUCUCUCCACUUUCAGAUUUCUUCAAUUUCUCUUAAUUUUCUUUCUUUUAUUUUUGUUCAUCUUCUCUUUCUUUCCUACAACUUCACUUUCAGAAUAUUAAGAUUGUUUAAAUAUCAUUUUAAUACGAUCUAAAUUAUCUCUUAUCCAGUCAACAUAAUCUUUUAGAUUUAAAACAUUUUUUCCAUCAUUAAAAAGAACUAUACAAUCAUGUAUAAUUUCCUACACGAUCAUGUAUAAUUUCUUAUACAAUCGCAUAUCAGGAUCGUUUAGAAGAAGAAUCACACGAAACAUUUUUUUUUCAUUGUUAAAAAAACUACACAAUCGUGUACCAUUUCCUACACGAUCGCCUAUCACGAUCAUUUUAGAAGAAAAAUUGCACGUACGCAUGUGAUUGAUUAAUCAUGUAUCGACUAUAACAUUUUUUAUAUUUUUCAUCAUGAACGUGCGAACUUUUUCCAUUUUUGUAAAUUAUCAAAAUUUAAUAAAUUUGUCAGGUGUUACUCUUAAUCUUUUACAAAACCACAAAAUAGUUUUGAACGACCAUAUUUCAUUAAUUAGUUAAUUCAAGAUAUUUAAAUAAAAGAUCCUAAUAAUUAAAUGGUUUUAAAAAAUAAUUAAAGAAAAUUGUCUCUUUCUUUUGCUUUAUUUUACCCUCAUCCAUGUCACUUUUCCUUUUAGGUUUUUUUCUUUCUUUCUUUCUUUUCAAUGAAUUGAAUGAAAGCAUAAGAAGGAUCGAGGAGAAAUCGAAUCUAACCUUAAAAUUGAUAGGAUAAGCACGUUGUUAGUUGAUAUUUCUACUACAUGCAACAACUAUGUUAAUGCAUUUGAUUUACACAUUCAUCAAUGCAUCAACAAAAAAUUACAAAUAAGUCAAAAUUCAAAGCAUCAAAAAUAAAAAUAAAAUAGUUUUGUUAUGGCAUUUCUCCAUAAUUUUUUGUGUUUCAUAUCAUCCAACAAGUUCCAUGAUCGACCAAUUGUACUACAAUGUAAUCAAGCUCUUGGAGCCUCCCCUCUUGAAUAUAUUAAUUCAAACCUUAAAUCAUUCAACCAUUGCCUCCCUUCCCUCAAUCUCCCUACCACUGUUUAUAGCGAAAUACACAGUUACUAGCUCCUUAUGCCCUUACUAAUAUCCCCAAGUCCAAGAAAUCCUGCAUUACUCAACUUCUUCAGCACCUGCACUACUCUCCCAUGAAACCUCAAUUGAAGCCAUCAAGCUAUGACUCGAUCAAGAAUUAGGAACCCUUUUACAUUCACUUACAGAACUUCACGUCCCGGGCAUUUUUCAAGCAAUGAUUCCAUACAAGAAUUAGGAACUUCUUUACAUUCACUUACAAAACUUCAUACCCCGGGCAGUUUCAGAAUUUUCCAAACUUUGGUCGGCUUCCAAAUCCUGUUUACUCACAACAAAUAAAGAAUAUUGAUCGGUGACAUUGUGAGAUUGUGAGAAUUGAGAAAGAAUAUUGAUCAUUGUUGUAAUCGUAAUGUAGUACUAAACUUAUCUUCUUACAAUACAAAGGGAACCAAAUCUCGUCUUAUAAAAAGGAGAUAGCAAACACAAUAGAAGAAAAUUCAAUGAAUGAAUUAUGACUCCAGUCCUUGAUAAAGCAAUUGAGUCAAGUUGCACGUGGUAGAAAAGGCCACAAGGGAAAAUGUUCCUACUGUUUGAAUAAAUUGUGAGGCUCUUACAGAAAUACUAGCCCCAUCAUAAUACAAUAUGCCUCUUGUUUCCUUAUCUUCUCUAACCUGUUAUGAACAUGGCCAAUGCCCCCCCCCCCCCCCCCCCCCCCCCCCCUCCAAAUCAAAUCAAAUAUUUUGAUUUGUAGCCUUACUUAUGAGUGAAUCAAGCCUUGGGUCAAUCUUUCCAUUGUAUUGCCUUUCAUUGGCAUUGAUUCGAUUGAGUCUUCCAGUCAUCAAGAAGGUUCUUCAUGGACUCUUCAAACUUCUUAGCUUGAGAUCCAGGCUUCAAGAUAUUGACAUCACUCCAUUGUGAGCAGGGAUCCAUCCACCAACUCUUCCGACCCGUGCACCAUGCUCCAGGAAGAAGUCGGUUACGACCUCGCUUCAAGAGUUCUUGAUCGACCAUGUCCAGCACAGAGUCAUCUUUAUGAAAUUCUCGAGCAAAUGCAGCUCCGCUUUCAGCCAUGACAUUGAAGUUUGAUACAUUGAGGAAAACCGGUUCCAUCUUUGGAGGAUCAUCCCAGAUCAUAAAUCUUAGAUCACUAUUAACAGUUUUGUUCUUGAACUCAUUUGAAUUGCAAAUGACAGAGUGAAAGUAUCCUUCUUCUGAUAAUACGAUGUUGUUAAAAUACAUAAGAAGCACCCGAGGAAGGUUAUCCCACCCAAGAACACAGAAUUCAAGAAAUGAUCGACUAAGGACAAACCAAGGGGAACCUGCAAAUGAUAAGGUCUUAGAUACAGUAUUCUUUAGUGAGCAGUAGAUUAAGAAGAAAACCAUAGAUAGUUAUCUAAAUUUAAAGAAUACACUAGGGACGAAACAUAAAAAGAAAAAUCAACUUAACCCGUGAAAAUUUUGAACGCAUCAGGUGUUGGCCGCUUCUCAGUAGCAUGAAAUAUUUGAGUUCUCCUUGCCAAAUACAACCCUGGAUCAACUACAAUUGGAUGAACCCUCUGACCUCUGGCAUUACCAAACACUGAUAUUAUUAUAGUUCAAUUCAAGCAAGAACAGUAUAUAAUGCUAAUGCAGAUUGGUUUUUCUUACUCUUUCCACCCAAGGUCGCUCGUGUGAUCUAUGAAAUUGAGAUCCCUACUAACAGAUGAGAAGACAUGUGAUAGAUCUGAAAGCACAUAUAAGAAAACGUUACUGUGCAAGGAAAAGGAAAGCUAUCCAUGGAAAUCAGCAAGUCGAAUAACUUUGAAGACUUCCCAGCCUAAAAGAUUUGCAUGAUUAAUAAGGCCUUUUUCAAGGUUUUUAAGGUGGCAAAUGCACUGAUGCACAAGAUGAAAGAGAAAACAAAUGGCUUGAAAGAGAUAAGAUACACAACAAAUAUCCUACAACUAGUUUUUUGAACUAACGAGUCCCAUAUAUAAGUAAUUCUUAUAAAAGUUUAAAAGAAAUCACCCACUUCAAUACAAGUCUUCUCCAAAUUUAUCAAUCACAGUGAAUAAUUAUAUAAACAAUAUCAUUGACGUUUCCUUGAAAGUGUUUUCCUCAUCUUUUCAGGUAACAUUUGAGCUUUUAGACUAGCAUACAUGUAACUCUACUGAUCUUAGGGACAGUCCCUAACCCUACAAUGUUUGAUUCAUAGAAUAUUUCAUAUACUAUUUGUAGAUGAACAACGUUGGUUUUAAUAUAUGACCUAAAUGUCACAAUGCAUCAUUACACCAUUAUUCAUCUUGGAGGUUCAAAUAGUGAAUAUCAUCAAUAUUAGCAAACAUUUCUAUGUAAUACUCAUACAAGUCAGUGAAAGUCUCUUAUGAUCCAAUGCAUUAACCUGUCCAUUCUUUGCCCCUACCCUAUUAUGGCCUCUGUAACAGUCCCACCUUUAAAGGGAAAGAGGUAAAAAUGUUCCCCAAAAGAACAACUCAAUAAAAUUGAAACUUCAAACUUGGCCAGAAAUAUUUGCUUCCUCAAAGAAAAAAUUACUAGUGAUUCUAGUCUAAGAGAAACCCUUUAUGAGACGAGAUCAAGAUAAAAUUACAAGCAGAACGGAUAUGACAUCCAAACUUGAUUAGGUAUCUAUGGAAAAAGAAAAAAAAAAGUGAACUGAAUGUUCUAGGCCUCUGGCCUCCUAUGUAGUUAAGCCCAAUACAAAGCAAUGAAGUGAAGAAGUUACUAUGACAGUGGUUCAAAUUAAGUACCCGAAAGUGCAAUCCAGUUUCUGCAUAUCACUGUAAAACCCCAAGGGCUCAAAAGGACGGUAAGAAAAAACAUCAACCUAAAAUAAUCCAUCAGUUUCCUCAUAUACAUACAUGGCGAAAGUGCUUAUAAUCUCUAACAGAGUAAUUCUAGAGGAUUAACUAUCAUAUGAAGACUUCACAGAGCAAUUGACUCAAUGAAUAGGUGUUUUCAAGGAUAAGCAUUGAAUAUCUCCCUCUGCUUGACCCAACUAAUUCAACCUUCAUUAUUUGAUCAAUUAAAAAGAGUUGGCUUCCUAUCACAAGAAACAUACAAAUACUUUUUCUUGAAUAAGAAGCCCCAAAAACAUAAAAUACAAUCCUGCAAUCUUUUAAUCAGUUAAAAAGAUCCUAAAAUUGGCUAAGCCUAUAAAAAUCCUUCAACUAGCUGUUCAACUAAGUUAACUAUAAGGCCCAAAACAAUCAUCAUAAUAUAACUAAUAAAUCGGAAAAAUCAAACAAUCAAAUAAUCAAACAAACAAACGAAACAUUAACAGCAAUCCACAAAUUUGAUAAAAAGAAAAAGGAUGUCAAGAACUAUUUUAAUGUCCCAAUUGGCGUAUGACAAUGAACACGACAAGAAACAAUUACCGAAUUGGCAUUACCAUCCUGACUGAUCAGCGGGUAAUCCCUGGCACUCAAAGUGAUAAACCAGUCCCAACCACUCUCAAGUUUCAGAAGAAUCGAAGCAGCAUGAAGAAUCGUGGCAAUGUUAGAUGACCCCAUAUAGCUGAUUCGAUUGGGCUUUCCAACAACGUCAACGUUUUCAAAGGCACGAAUAGCUGGCACCGACUUCACCGCUACGGCUAGCUGCAGCCGCUCCUCGUUGGAAGCAUCUGCCGCAAGAUGCAGAAGGUACCGGUUUCUGGGGUGGUAGACAGCAAGCAACAGCCUGAAGAGUCGGUCCUUGUCACCGCGGCCACCGGAAAUGUAAUAGGCAAAAGCAGGAGGAUAUGGAGCUCCAUGGUGAACUAUUGAGGGAAUGGAUCGCGGAGAACUGAAGGCAGAAAUGGAAGAGAACAAGAGAAGGAGAAGAGAAAGGAAAACGGCAGAGAAGAGGGUGAAGAGCCAUUUUUUCUCAGCUCCCAUGACGAAGAUCGUGGUCCUGGUUUUAGUUUUUUCACUUUAUGGUGAUGGGAAUUACAGCACUCUGAUGAUGAUGACGACGAUUCAACUGGGUGGGGCAUAUGGGUAAACGUCAAUUCGAGAAAAGAGGCGAGUUUGAGAGUGAAUUUAGAUUUUCAGAAUCUUCUAGGGAAAUGGGUUGUUGGUUUGGUAGAUCUUCGAUUCUUUGGCGAUUCCAGUUCAGAGAGAAGCAUCCUUCGAAGAUCUGGGAUUCAAAACACACAGUAAAAAGAUCGAAAAAUGUGAAAUAUAAAAAGAUUGCGACCAAUACAAAAUAAAAGUGACUCGAUAACUAAUUAAUUUCUACACGCAAUUAACAGUAACCCAGUCAUCCACACACCAAAAAUAAAGCCAAGCACAUGCAGAAAGAAACUAAACAAGACAUAAUAAUAGUCACGAAUAACAGCAUAACAAGCAUGGAUCAUUAGAUUGCAAUACGAUCACAAAGGUCGUCAUGCUCUGCAGAAAAGGUCACAUGAAUAACUGCAUAACAAGUAUGAAGUAAACCAAUCGUAAUUGAAAACCUACCUUGUUGAAACGAAAUGAAGAGUCCCGUGGAAAUUUCGGAAGUUGCAAUCGUCCUCCUUGCAGUCAAAAUCAUAAGAAACCGGUACUUCGGGUCAGAAGUAGCAAUCAGGGUAUAGAUCGGCUCAAAUCGCAUCAGUUGAAGUCGAAGUGGUGGGUCGUCGAUUCUCUCUACGAUAAACAAAGAAAACGUGGCUUCACCUGGAUUUUCUCUCCGAUCGCUUAUCGAGACUAGUAAUUUGUCUCCGAUUGUUGCAGUCGAAAUCGUUUUUUCUCCGAUCGAGGGUUCGGCUGGAUUUUCGUCGUCGUUCAUCUCCAUGGGCUUCUACCGUGGGCCAAUUCAGUGACGUAACGGGCUGGGUCGGGUCGGUUUUGAAAACCGUCCAGACCCAAGAUCGAUUAUGUACGAGUCUACCACGGAUGCCGACCCAACCUGAGUCAAAUUUGACUUGGGUCGGGUCUUUUUUUAAAAAAAUAUUAUUAUUAUUUUUAGAGUACGGAGUGGAGUGAGCUAAUUUUAGUUGAAAAUUAAGAUUUGGAUUUCAAACAAAGGAAAUUGGUAUAGAUAGCAAAUUGAAUGACUUUAAAAAAUAUCGAAAAACUAAGAAUAGUAAGAAUUAUAGCAAAGUGUUUACACUACGAUUUCAUAAUACUAAUGGACCGUGAGAGAAUUGCAACUAUUUUACUUAAUCUUUUUUCUAUCAUUUUAAAAAUUAAGAUUUAGUUAGUAACAUAUAUCUUUUAUAUAUUUAUAUAAAAUAUGAUAUAUAUGUUAGGGAUAUUUUUUAAAAUAGUAAAGUAAAUUAAAAUAUUUACAAAUUAUAGCAAAAAUUUUAUGCUAUCAAUUAUAGAAAUUGAUAACGUUCUAUCAUUGUGUAUCAAUGAAUGCUGCUAUAGAAGGAUAUCCGUGUUUAUCAAAGUUUGUUAUUGAUAGAAUUUUAAAAUUUUGCUACAAGGUGACAAUUUCCUUUUAUUUAAAUUUGUUUGCACAAAUUUGUUAUCAACUAUCAAUUUUUUUAAAGAUCCUAUGUUUAACUCUUAUGGAUAUGCAAAUUUGUGAUAUCUCCGUUUACUAAUUUCAAUAAAAAUUUAAUUCUCCACAUGUAUCUAUUUAGAAAAUUUAAAAAAAAAAAUCACACCAUUUAUUUUAAAGAAAAACUACGAGAUUUAUCAUCGCAAGACAUGUUGUUUUCAUUUUCUUGAAAAAGGUAAGAAGAAAUUUAUGGAGACCAAAAAGAGUUGGGAUGAAAAGAGGAGGUUAUCUUUCAAUAGUGAGACAAGAAAUGUACCAUGGUAGCAAGAAUUAAUUGGUUGAGACUUUUUGUUAUAGUAGAGUUUUUGGGUUCACUAAUUUAUUAGCAUCUAAUGUAUCUUCACCGUACACCAAAUAUCACCAAGAGCUAAGCAAUUCAGUAAAGACAUCCAAGACGUUGAAAAUUUAUCAUGAUUGGUUUUGUUAAGACUAUCUUAGUUUGAAAACAAAUAAACCAAAAGCUACAAAUAGGAUUAUGCUCAAAUAUUUUGGGUGUGUACUUUGAGGUGGAGAUUUAGGGGAUUAGGAAAAGGGCUUUGGCCUGAAAUUUUUCUACUUUAUCUUCUCAGAACCUACAAACUUUUCUAUUUCAUCUUAUUAUAAUACUUUGAUAGGGAGGGGGCUUCGAGUUGUAACUUAGAGAAAAAAUAAAAAUCUGAAGAAAAAAAAACUACACAAGUAGGACUUAAUCUUUGUUUGGAUGAGGGUUGACAAACAUAGUUACCACAAACAUAGUUACCACAAACGUAGUAUUAAAUGGUUUUGUUUAUACAUAUUAUAUAAAGACAAUAAAGUUGAGGGGGGCUCGAGCCCCCCGGGCUUAUACUAAAUCCAUCGAUGAUCAUAACACUAGGAUUAUUAUAAUCCUUUUCUCCUAUAACUCUUUUCCUCCCCCAAACGCACCCUAAGAGUGAUUUUUUAAGCCAAUGUAGAGUCAUUCCAAACACAAAGGGAUUAUGAAACAAGUCAUUUUCCCAUUACUAUGAACUAACAAGUGUAUUUGGGAAGGAUAGAGCACCAAAAAAUUCAUAUGAGCCUUUAGUUGUGAUGGUGCCAACUUUUUUUCCUAGAAAUAAAGGAUGAGGUUCGACUAGGAUUACAAAAAUACCCCAACCUAAAUGAUGAACAAACCUCAUUACUUGAGGAUCCAAUGAAAAAUGAUUGGGUACACAUGUCCAUGGUGAGCAUCAGUGUAUUAGAUAUGUCUAUAGGUAGAGCAAGUGAGCAACGAAAUCAUCUAAAGGUAGUAAGAGGAAAUUACUAACAUUCCGAAAUGCAAUGAUUAACAUCGUGCAAUCAUUUGCAUUCAGCACACAUGGACAGACUUGUUGCAUGACAAACAUAGAAGUAUGAGUUGCUAGAAUUUUGACGUCAAAAGGAGGUAGUUGAUGUCAUAUUUCAUAUUGAAUGGAUGUUUGAGGAUGAUAAAUGUGAAGUAAUUGGUUUGAUUGGCUUGAACAUACGAAAGACAAACUUUUUCCUUGUUGUACUAGAAGAGAAUCGAAAACGAUACUGCAAUUUGCAUCUUGCUUGUUCAUUAUCAUGAACUCAUUCUAAUUAAGCUUUAAUAAUGUGACUAGAAUUGACAAUUAGGCUAGGAUCAUGCAAUAAAAGGUCCAUACUCCUAUCUAAGUAUUGCUAGUGAUAAGAAUUCAUCGUUUUGAGUACAUGAGUUUCAUAUUAAGUCCGGCGGCAAGAAUGUAUUGCUACAUUCUUUUCGCCAUCUAUUUAGUUAAAUCCUGAUCAUCAUGUUUCAAGUGACAAUAGUCAAUACUUUAUCAUUUCUCUCGAAUAGGAUAAGAUAUUGAUUGCUACAUUAACAUGACAAAUAAUGUCGACAUCUAGAUUCUCUAACAUUAACUACUCCUUACAUCAUUUACCCCUACUUAAACUUAAAUAAUUAUGAAAGACAAAGAAAUGCGAGAAUGAAAGUAGAAAUAAAUUGCAUUCAAACUUCUCUAGGCUUCUCGGCCAUAGAGUUCAAAUUACAAAAAAUUACAAAUGAAAUUACAAAAAUGUGUGUCAAGCCACUAAACAUGAUUUCUCAGACUCGUUGGCUCUGCUUUUUACCUAUACAUUGAGGGGAAGCGAAAUGGAGGAUCUUUCAUCUAUGUUCUAAGCUCUCACCUAAAACAGAGAAAGAAAAAAUGGAAGUUGGAAGUGAACUUGCUCUUCCGUAGAUUUUGCACAUUGUUCUUGAUGUUGCACUCUAUUUCUAGGUGAUGAUUGACAUGACAUAUCAUAGUCUGGGUUCCAUUAAUUCUUUGAAAAAGCUACUUUGCGCUAUAGAUGUCACAUUCAUCAUUGUCUAACAUUAGCACCAACUAUUUUGUCUUUUUAGUGAUGUAGAACGCCUAGCUUCCUUCUUUCAAUCGUUUUGUUGGUCGUCUUGUAUGCUUCUUCGUCUGAUGUUUGUCACUUGGCUACUCCUCUCUUUUUCAUCUUAUAAUAUUCUAUGUAUGCACAUGAAAAAUGCGAUAAACAAACAAAAGCUCUUUUAUAACUUGUAAUGUGUAACUAAGUUAUUUGAUCUAUUUAACUACUUGUUUUCUUCAUUUUUCAUUAUUCUACCUAAAAAGCUAUAAUUAAAAUUAUAUAUAUAAAAAUUCGACGUAAAUGAGGGUAAAAAGUGAUAGUUAGAUAGAAGGAAAAAUGAAAAUUUUAUUGCAACAUGACAUGUAUUUUUCGGUGAUAAACGUAUAACUGUUUUGCAAUUAUAUUGAAUGCUCAGAUCAUGAGUGUUCAAAAAAUGGAUGAAAAAAUUUGUGUUCUCUACGUGAAUAAUUAAGUUGAAAAGAAUUUUUUAUGUUUUAUAAAUUUAAACAAAUAAGAGGGUUUCUCUUUCUUUGUUUUUUUUUUCAUAAAAAAGUAGAGAAAUAGACGUUCGGGUUAAAGCCAAAAGAAUUUGUUUUUUGAUUUUUAGACACAACUCAAUUCAACAUCCCAAGUUCUAUAGAUAAUUUAACUUUCCAUACAAUAAUUAACGCAACGCUAUUGAUUUAUUGUGUGUCAAACGUUCCUUAAAUUUCAAAUCUAUUCUUAAUUUUCCUUAAUUCUUUAUGAUAUUUCUAUGAAUUUUGCAAGAACAAUAAGAAGGCUUUUUGGUGUGUAGUGUGCGUUAUUAUAGUCUAUGUUUAUGAUGCAAAAUAUUAUAAUUUGUAUUUGAACGGUAGAGUAUAGUUUAUAUACAUAAAUGAAUUCCUUUCCACCUGAAGAUCUUCCUUUCCACCUGAAGACACUUAACCUGAUUGAUUUAAGAUGUCUCGUGUUCUUUAAACUCUGAUCUUUGCAGUCAAUGGUGUUUUGGUUUAUUACAACGAAAACUUCUCCGUAAUUGUUCCAAAGUGUUGUAGAUAUUUUGGUCAAAACAUCUCAUUGUUGGACUUUUGAUCAGAGUCCACCAAAUGGACUUAGGCAUUCACCAACUCAAAGUCCUCACAUUUUGUCCAUUUGUGUUUCCAUCUUUUUCCAUUCACCUGUCAUUCUCAUACAUGCAUGUAUACAUGGUGAACACAUUAUGCAAAAUUAAAUAGCUUCGUCUCAUAUUAUUAAAAAAAAUGUAAAAACCUAAAUAUGAAGUUAAUUAGUUGAAUCAAACAUGUUCAUUACAAAAAAUGAAGUAUAAAUAUUUGAUAAACGUCUACUAUGUUUGUUAGAUGUAAAGCUAGAGGUCCUUUUAGUAUCCUUGCAAAAACUAAAAAAGAAAGCUAACUUAGAUCAAAUCUAGAAUCUCUGAUGGUUAUUCUUAGAUCCUAAGGCAACUCCCUCCGGGGUCAGCUUGAUCAAGACUAAGUGAAUGAAUUGUUUUUUAACAUAAAAUAUAAAACAAAAUUUGAAAAGAUAACACCAAAAGGGUUGAAUAAGCACAAACAUUUUAGUAUUGCUAUUCUCCCUUUUCAAGAGUAUUACAAAACCAUUUUAUAGGCUAAAUGGUCAUGCGUGGGGUGAAAGCCAAAAGUCACCCAAACACUUAAAUGUCAAUUGAAGAAAAUACAUGUAUGGGGUGGAAGCUUAAGUGUCAUCCAAAUACACUUAAAUGACAUUCGAAGAAAAUAAAGACAUAGGAACUUAAAACAAGAUUGCAUACUAAAUUAUAGAUCAAACUGAAAAACUAAAAAUGUAGAAUGUCUUCAAAACGCCUCAAAUAACUCCUUUAGAAGGCUGCAAAAUUGAUGUGUCCAUUUGACAUGGUUUGACAUCAUAUUUUCCCAUGUAGUGCACAACAAACAGCAACUUCUUCACAAAAUCUGCACAUUUUUUUGUCCUACAUGCCAUCUUUAAUUCAUUCUUAUCUCAACUCAUUGAACUAACAUUAUAUAUAAUUUGACUCAUUUUCAUCUUGAUAUUUUUUAUAGCUACCAUUGAUGAUAUUCUUCUAUUGCCAUCACUAAUAAUAUCUAUGAUGAUAGCAAUAGAAGGAUAUUACUGAUAGCAUUUAUAAGUAAUAUCUUUAAUAUGAUACUAUAUAUCAAUGAUAUCAAGGUAAGGUUACUAUAAAGUGAUAUUAUGGUUGCUUGUUCGUAAGAUAAAUUGAUAAAUAAAAGAGAUUAGAUUAGCAUCUUAUCGGUAAUAGCUUUGAAUCACUAAUAACAUAAUAUUCAUAUGAUAGCUUCUAUCGCUAAUAAUAUAAAUGAAAUUGAUGUAGUUGCAAUAUUUGUUGAAAUAAAUUAUUAAUUUUUAGGUUAUGUUAUCAAUAUUUAUAUGAAAUACAUAUUGAGGCAUUAGGCAUAUAUCAACAAGGAGGCUGAAAGGCAAAAUUGUUAGCUUGUGGUAUAGAUAAUAUUUAUUUUCUUCGAAAUUUCCAUUGAAAUUAGCGGAAGGGCCCUCCAUCCUAGAAGUGAGCCUACAGGUAGAGAACUCCUAUGGACUUCAUGGGCCGAGGGGAUUUGUUCAAUGAGGUUUGGCCCAGUCCAAUGAUGAGGCUGACUUUACAGUUUCCUGUUUCCACUGUACUUCACCACCUCUCUAUUCCUUCAUCCACAUUUGAGCUUUUUGCUCUCAUUUUUCUCUCUACCUCUCUCUCUCCCCCGCGUACAGGAGAGAGCAAAAUCAAUCAUCCAUGGCGAAGCUCACCUCUCUCCUCAUCUUCUUCUCUCUUCUCUCUCUCCUCUUGCUCUCUCUUUCACCCUCUUAUGUUCUUGCUGACUCCCACUUUGAAGGAUUCGAACCAGAACUCGACGACCUCGAAGAUGACGAUCUUUCACUUCCCCUCACCGAUCUCCCCCUCCGUCCUCCUCCUCUUACCCAGUCCGAGCCAGAACUCACCGGAAUUUCUUCUCUGGAUCAAGAUUCUGAUAAACCGGAUCCAGUGGGCGAGCCGUCGGAUCCUCAAUCUCCACCCUCUGUCUCCGAUUAUACGAAGCCGUCUCCAACUAGCUUCAAUUACUGGGAUGAGGACGAAUUUGAAGGUUUGCCGAUUGAGCAACCACAAGAACCGGUACAACAGAGCUCCAAAUCUACGGAGGAUUCAGCCUCCACCAAUCCGAACUCUGAUUCAAAACCUACCUCUCCGAUUCCCAAACCUACGAAUGCUCCGAAGUCGUAUACUGUUGAAAUUAUCUGUGGAUCUUUCUUGGUGAUUUUUGUGAUAAACUAUUUUACCGGAAAGCGCGAGAACGAGAACAUUGCUCUAUCUUGGGCUGCGAAAUUCGGGACCAAGGACUCCAUUUUUGAGAAGAACUUUAGUCUGCUGGGCGUGGGGGAAGGCGAAGACUCGCCUUUGCUGUUGAAAGAGGGACAGAAUGUCUUCAAAUUCUAUGCUAGUGGGCGAAGGUAUUGCCAGGGGCUUUUGGCGACAAUGGAGUUGAAGAGCCGACAUGAUUUGAUCUCGAGGUUGUAUAAUAUGGUGGUGCCAUGUAAGGAUGAAAUUAGCUUCGAAGUCUAUAUGAAUGAUGAUGCGAUGGAUCAUAUUAUCUUUGCCGUGGCGAAGAAGAAAGCUGCCAAAGGAAUGCAAAAGGAUUUGAGAGAUUUGCAAAGAUUUGCCGGGAUUUUGGCGCCUCCCAGAUGGGUUCCUGAAGAGUUGAGCGUAAUUUCUGAAUCGAAGGAAGUCGCUGCAGAUUUGAUCACAGAGGCCGUUCUUGACCAGGUUGGUAGAUUUUCGUUUCACUGUUUCAGAUAACUUCCUUUAUCUUAUUUCGUUUCGCUGUUUCAAAAACGUUUUGUUGAAUGGGUGUUUGCAAAAUCUUCUGAUGUCUGAUUUUUCAGUUAAAAAGGUUCAGAUAUGUUGUUUAUUUUCAUGAUAUUUAUUUAUUUUAUUUUAUUUUUUGCUAAUCGUUUAAACUUUAUAUUAUCUGGUGAUCUCGCGUUUAAAAUGUAAUCUUUCUGUUUACUUUUCAUAUAUGUUAGUUUUUGUAAGGAUCAAUUUAUAUUUACUUAUCUAAAAAAUUGUGAAAUUACUUAUGGUAUUAUACAACUGCAUGUUUGAUUAUUCACUCUGCAUAGUUGGGUUUGGACUGGGGCAUAUUUUCUUUUAAAUUAUAUUUCUUUGUGCAUUUGGAUUUUUUUUUUGGAGGUUUGCUUUCAUAACCCUUUCUGUAGCUUUGGAAGUUGAAACCAAUCACACUUUUCAAACAAGUUUUUAUAGUGCUUUCAAUCUAGUUGGUGCGUUCUUUGUAGGAAUUCUUAUGCUUAUGAAGAUUAGAACCAUCUGUUUUGGCAAUGCCUUUUCUCGACCUUGGUUGGGCAUCCUUUCAGUCAGUUUGGCCCUGAGUCAAGAGAUUGAGAAUGCCUUAGCUUAGGGGGUCCCUUUUUUUCUUAUUGGCUGAAAUUGGCGCUGAUUAUCUCUCAAUGAAACGUGUUUAUUCAUAAACAACCACAGCUAAAAGGACUUUGUUUGAGGUAUAGUGGACUUAGGGUUUUGAAGAAGUUUUGGCUCAAAUCAGACAUGAAAUUGCUACACAAGUUUCAUUUAGUUGUAGAUGGCUUUGUUAUUUUUUAGUGGUGAGGAUUGUUGCAGCUUUUAUUUCCCUAGGGUGUCUUGGAAACGUUUAUUUACUAAAGUACUGUGUACCAAGGAUUAUUUACUCUUGGAUCCGGACUCGUAUUUGCUUGGUUAGGUACUCAAUCCUAAUCAAUGUUUGGCUGAGAGUUAGGAUCCAUGCUAUGAGUGAUCUUAAAUGGGGGAACCUCUGCGGACGAUCCUUUUCUUGUUGGUGGUGGUUGUCCUAGGCAGUGUUUUUAAAUGCCCAUGGCGCACUAAGUCACAAUGAUGGCCGCCCUCUGGAACCUAAGCGCAAGUCACACAAAAAGGUGUGGGCUUUUUUUGUGAGGCACGUUACAUAUGAAAAUAUUACAUGAAAAAGAAAGGAUAUUUGAAGUGGAAUUAUGAAGAAAAAAGACCCCAAACACAAGAAUUUUUGCAUUUAGGCUUAGUAAACCUGAUUGCUUUAGUUAAUAAUGAAGGAAAACCCUUAAUUAUUACUAUUUUUUAAAAGUAAUGAUAAAGCCCCAAGGCCCAAGGCCCAAGGCUUUAAGCCUUGGGCGCUUCACAAAAGCCUAGGUUUGGCCCGAGAAGGCUUUUUAAAACACUGGUCCUAAGUAGGAUCAUUUUGAAAGGAGUGGCAUCUAAAGCUUUUAAAGGUUUUGAGAUUGGCACUGACAAUCUGACCCUCUAUCAUCUUGCGUUUGUUGGUGAUAUCAUUUUCUUUUGCUUCGAAAAUGAGGAGUCAUUUGAUAAUUUAGAGAAUUACUUGGUAUUUAUUGAAAUGAGUUCGAAUGUCAACUUCUAGGUUUAAAUUGUGGUCUUGAUAAGAUUCAUAGGUAGGCUGCUUUGGUAGGAUGUGAAGCUAGUUUGUUCCUUCAUAUCUUGGCCUCCCUCUUAGGCAUAAUCUGACUAAUGUUUUUUGGGAACCCAUGUUGUGGAUAAGAUUCAAAGAAGGAUGGCAACUUGGAAACAGAGCUUUUUCUCGACAGGGGGUCAUCUAACUCUCAUCCCGUCGAUUUUGAGUGGGAUUCCUUUCUACUUUCUUUCCCUCUUUUAAAUUUCAGUGUUCGUAAGUAAUGCCUGGAAGAAAUUGAUGAGGCUGGAUAGGCAGAGUGUUUGAAACUCAUGGAUUUUGGAGGAAUUACAGGAAAGCUGAGAGCAUGUAAGCAGACCCUUCUAGCUAAAUAACUGGCAGUUUUAACAAACUUGAUGCUCUUUAACGUGAAGUUAUUGCAAGUAAAUUUAGUCUGUUCCAUGAACUCUAAAUGGGGUUAGUGUUCUAGGUCUCCUUGGGGUCAUUUCAUUCCUUGCUGAAUUGGGGAGGGGAGAGAGAUGUUUUUAGGAAAGAUUAGUGAUUCGGUUACGACCCUUUUGCUUUGUUUUUCCUCAUAUUGGUCUUUUUUAAAGAAUGUAUCUUAGGCCAACAUUAUAGCUCAACCAUCCACCACUUUGGGGUUCUGUCAUUUCCUAUCUGAUAGGGAAAUAAGGGAUCCCCUUUCAUUCUUAGGAAGUUUCUGUGCUUUGUUGGGAGAAGGGUCAUUUGCUUUUGGAGCCCUAGUCUUUCAAAGAGCUGUUUCUGUCAUUCAUUUUUCCUUUUGUCUGGUUAACCCUUCUCCUUUGAGAGAUUUAGCUUUUUCCUUGAUAUGGAAAAUAAAAAUUCUCGAUAUGGUGAAGUUUUUGUUUGGUAGGUUCUUCACGUGGGGGUGAACAUCUUAGAUGGGGUGGUUAGCAAGAUGCCUAAUUUGAUUUGGGCAUGGUGUUAUAUUCUUUGUAGAAGGGUAACAAAGAACCUUGACCAUAUCCUUUGAAGUUGUGUCUUUGUCUAUGUGGUAUAAACUUCUUUAACGAGCUUGGUGAGUUGGCUAGACAUCUUGAUUGCAUACAGAUGAUCGAGGAAUUUCUUCUCCACCUUCCUUUAGUGAGAAAGGAAAGUUUUUUUUAAAAAAUUAAAAUUUUUAUGAUAUCAAACAACUUUCAUUGAGAAAGAAUGAAAGAAUACAAAAGGCAUACAAAAAAAUCUAGCUCGCCAAAACACCCUGACUGAUAAAAGGGGGGACCAACAAAGUAAAAUGUUACCGUUGGAGUAAUUACAAAAAUGCUUCGAAAUUGAAGCCUAAAGGUAAACAUGAAAUCUAGCCAAGACCAAAUCUCACUAUACUCCCUCUCUCUACCCCGAAAGAUCCAAUCAUUCUCUCCCCAAAUGUCCCAAAUAAUGGCACACACCCCGACCAUCCAUAAAAGUCCCCUUUGUCUGUGAAAGGUUGAUGGAGGAGGGACUUCCCGAUUGUCGCUCUGACACUCCGAGAGCCAGAAAAACUAACACCGAACUCUUGAAGGAAAGAACUCCACACUACUGCCCGCAUGUAAUGGCAUUCCCAAAACAAAUGAUCAAGUCUUCCUUUGCCUUCCGACAAAGCAUGCAACAAAAUGGCCCGACAAGCAAAGUCCUCCUCCUAACAAACCUAUCAACAGUGUUAACCCGACCAAGCAAGACUUGCCAAAUAAAGAACCUAACUUUCAUAGGAACCUUAGUCUUCCAGAUCACGUAAAAAACCGACUCCAUAGGGGGAGAGGGAUCUAACAAUAGACUAAACAAGGAUUUACACAUGUAACACCUACUAGGAUUAGGAUCCCAAAUACAAACAUCCCUUCUCCCAUCUUAAAGUUACACCCCUCAAACAAAUAAAGGAGAGAGGCCUCCUUUGUCGAUUCCCUAUUGGUCAAAUUAAGAUAGAAUACGAAGGAAAAAGACACAUGGGUUUCUCCAAACUAACCAGACAAUCUGAGACCAUACAAUUUCUGAAUGAGGAUAAAUGAUAAAGAUGCGGAAAUAAAGAGCAAAGUGUAUUCUCCCCUACCCACUGAUCCUCCCAAAAAUACGUGUCCUUAUCAUCCCCCACAAAGCAACGAGUAAACUGAGAGAAAGUAGAAAGCUCGAAGAAAAUAUCCGUUCAAGGAUUUUGGUGUGCCUUUAACGAGAAAGUAGAAAGCUUGAAGAAAAUAUCCGUUCAAGGACAGUAGUUCAACGAGUAAAUUGCGAGAAAGGAAAGUUUUUGGGACAAGUAGGGGUGUGCUAUUUUAUGGGGAUUUGGAGCGAGAGGAACAAUAGAAUCCUUUGAGGGAAUGAUUCUUUUUUAUGUUUUGUCCUUUGAUAGAUUUCAUGUUACUCUGUGGGCUUCGUGUACAAAGCUUCUCUAUAAUUGUGAGCCUUGAGCGCUUUUUUUUCCUUCUAGUCUUUACUUUUUGCCAUGCAACUUGCUGUCUGCAUUUCCCUAUUGAACGCCUACCUGCUCAGUUAACAUGUUACAGUCAGAACUUUUAUUAAAUAUCUUUAUUCCUUGCCGUGGAAUGUGGAAUUUUAAUUUUAAUUUUAAUUGAUUUCUGCAGGUUUUUGGUGAAAAAUCUUUUGAGAAAUUUGGGAAGUAUUUCAUCUCGAUGCACUUCUCGGAUCAGCAUUCGGGCAUGCACAAGAAGAUGCUGUUGUUCAAGUUUGCCCUCCCAGAUGCCAACAACAUGGCAGAUAUUUCUCGUCUAGUAGCCCUUGUGCCCUAUUACAUUGACACUGUUGGACGCUACAAGCUCAGUUCACAGGUAAACUUCAUACACAAGACACACACACAUAUUACUUCGCUCAGAACUUUCUAAAUUCUAAUUGUUGGUGAUGCAGGCCCGCUCGAAAACUGAAGCUGCCAGGUCGAAGGCUGCUCAAGAGGCACACAGAGAGCUUCAAAAUGCAAGGCAAGAAGCACUGCAGAAGAGGAAGGCAGAGAAGAAGAAACUGAUGGAAGAAGCUGAAGCCAAAUUAAGUGCUGAGGCUCUUCGACGGAAAGAGGCGAAAGACCGUGCCAAGCAGAUGAAGAAAGCAAUGCCAAAGAUAAAGAUGAGCCGCACACGUUAGGGACUCAAUUUUUGUCCGAUGCAUCAACCAUGAGUGGCAAAGCAAACUUGCCUCUUCUUCAUCUAGUUUUCUAAGCUCGUUUAAGAGCUCAACAAGGGUUCCUGGUUUCAUUGCAAAUUUUGAUGAUCAGGGUAGUGGACCGUGUACUUUUAGAUUGCAUUACACUAGCUCGUCAUCCCAUAAUAACAGUACUAUAGAAACUAGCUUUCGUUUUUUUUGCUAAAUUAAUUCCCUUUUUUUUCUCUAUUUUAGUUCUCUACCUUUGGUGGCCUUUUAGUCAUUGAGAACGAUCUGGUUGCAUAGGACUUUUACUGAAGUGUAAUGUUGAAGUCUUACUCCAAUGGUGAAUUAUAGACCUCUUUUGAGACGAUCAGAUGGUUUGUUUUCUUUUUACAAGUUUUGUCAAAGGGAUGAAUAGAAUCAAUUUUGCUCUUUUAAGGUAUUGCUUGGUGUUGGGACUAGGAUUUAUUGAUGCGGUCAACACAAGCAUAUUACUGUCCAUAUUAAUUCAUUACACCAAACUUCCAACUAUGAACUACAAAGAUGUAGUAUAGCUUUAAGUUUGAGGUCGAAUUCAAGAGCAUUGAAUUAAGUGCUUUUGUCUACAAUAAAAUUUUUUAUUUAUAAAGGGAGUUUUGUAAAGCUGAUAUUGUAAGAAAAUAUAUGUACAAGAAAAUGAACUUGUUUUUGGUUUAUGAAUUGAUAUUUAGAACGCCCAAAGAAUUAAAGAUUUUCUCUCAAUAGAAUGAUUGAGAAUGAGAAACUUAGGUAACUUUCUAUCAUUCAAUGAAAUCAAGAAAAUGUAAAAACAAUUGCAACCGACAGCAAACUAGAGGAUUAAAUACUAAUUACCCUAAAUUCAUGAACAGGAAUUACUUCACAUUCAAUCUAAAUUCUUUCUAUGCAUUUUCAUCUAAGUAAUUUUCAUGCAUAUUCUAAUUUUUCUUUAAAUUCUUAGGAUCAAUGUGAUAAUUUCAUGCACGGAAUGCCUACAUAAAAUAAUAUUGGUACUAGUUUAAUUCAACUAGAUAAUUCUAGAAAAAAAUUGAAAGAGAAAUGUUUAAAAUCAAUUCAAGAUUCACAAGUUUUUCAACUUAAUCUAAAGAAUUGUGCUUAGCAUCAUUAAAUUUAAACAAGAAUUCAAGUUCAAUGAUUGAACUUUGUCAUUUAGACAAAAAAAUCAAUACAAGAUCGAGCAUGAAAUUCAAAACAAGAUUUGCAAUCGUUCAUCAUUCAAAGUGAAAGUUCUCAAGAUAAUACAUCUAAAAUCUUAUUCCCAAUAAAAAAUACCUCUAGUUCUUUAUCUUUCUAGUUAAAACUUCAAGAAAUUUGAUGAACGUCGAAGUAAUCUUCAAAGAGAUUGUAGUAUUUAAUUCAUCUGAUGCAAUUUCUAAAUAUGUAACGUUGCAACACUAUGGUUACUAAAACCUUUUCUUCAUUUUUGCUCUAAUUUGCUUGCUUUUCUCGUGAUUUAGCUUGUUUUGCAUCGUAAUCAUUCAGGUAGCCUAGGAUGCUUAUUAUUAUUAUUAUUUUUAUAAAAAUAGUAGAAUAAACAUUAAAUUCAUGAGAAUUAUUGGGCUUAGGAAAGUAGUGCUUUUUUUAGCAAUGUCAAAGGUCAUACUUAUGUUUAAAAGCAUGUAAGAUAAGUGUUGUAGUAAGUAAACUCUUGAAGUUGAUAAAAGUUAAGCUUAUUCAUAUUGUGGUUUUCAUCACAUAGUUAAGACGUAUAAUGGAAUGUGGGUUCAAUAUUUAAGUUGCAUUGACUCUUUGAUGUGCCUUGCAGCCUCAUGACAUAAUGAAUUAAAAUUGAUAAAGGUAUUAAAAGUGUAAAAUGUCAAGCCAAGCAUAGAGUUAGUCAAAUUCACCCUAAGCAUUGAGUGUCAAUACACCAAAGAAUAUUGGACACUUCACUCUCCAGUCGCAUUCUCUCUCGAGCUGGGUCAGUAAAAUGGGAGGAGAUGUGUAAACCCUAUACUUUAGGAUCUCUAAGUCUGUUAAAAGUUCUUGUAGUAGCCUGGGUGAAAGAAGUUAAGGAGAAAUCUUAUUAGAAGUGUUAUCAAUAAGUGAUAUUAUUGAGGUUUCAUGGUUUAAGUGACGUAGGUGUCAUGGCAUGCAAAUAUGUAGGUUUUACAAGCAGAAGGUGUGGAGAGAAAACCAUGCAAAUAGAAGGAGUCAAAAUAUUUCCAUGCAAGGUUCACAAUAAAUAGGGUAACUUCAAGUGGUUAGAAUUUUCAUUUUCCUUGUGCAAAUUUACACAAAACAAUCACAAAAAAACCUUGAGUGGGUUCAUUUGUUAAGGCAGGGUUUCCAAACUAAAAAGAGUUGAGGAAGAAGUUCAACUUCUGAGCUAAAGCACCAGAGGUCACUUUUAGACAAGUUUGAGCAGUGUUAGGUUCUUGAGGGGCUAUAGAAUAACACAUUACUUGGAAUCUUAAACUGAAAUUUGGAGGUUGGAUAUUUAAGACAAUUCUAAAAAACUUUGUAGAAGGAAGUUUCUUUUUUGAGAUAUGAAUUUUAAAGUUAUUGACUUUCAAAGUUGGGUUUAGGUUCUACACGAAAAAAGAAAAUCUAGGCAGAGUUGAAGGUUGGCCGAGUGGCAAGAAAGACAAGGCGAGCUGGAUGUUUAAGAUAGGAAAAAGAGGUUAGUAUGGACUUUGGAGCAAGCGAGUAACAAGGCAAGAGCACAGCUAGGCGACGUGAGGUACGCGUCUAGGCCAUGCAACAUGCCUUGUGUGCGUGGAUGCACGUAACACACAAGGUGUGCGACCAUGGGGAACACAACAAGCCCAGGUGUGAGGCUAGCACGAGGUCAAGCUACUCAUUGUCCCAUGCAAGUGCUGAUAACGUGUAUAAACACUCGUUAUUAUAGCCUCUUGUAUUAGAAUAAUGAGAUCAAAACGCAUUCUUUUUACAUUUGGAAAUAAGAUGUAAAAUUAAAUACAAAGAAAAAAAGGACAAGAAAUUCACUUGGCAACAACACUGGUUUUCACUUCAUCAGAAGGUUGAAUAUAUUUCCAACAAAAUCCAAGAGUGCUCCCCAUCAUGUUCAUUAUCACAGCUGAAAUUGCUGGAGGCAAUGCCACCAUUGCUGAACUAAAAUGUGAGGCUGCCAAAACAACUCCCAGUGAUGAAUUCUGCAUCCCAACCUGAAGCCAAAAUCCACACCCUCUCAUUCAUAUAUCUAUGUUUUUCAAUUUCUCGAUAAGUGAAUGUCGUUUUGUUACCUGCAUGGAUAUAGUUCUUCGUUCUCGUUCUCGAAACCCACAGAUAGCAGCUGCUAUAUACCUGCAAAUCAGAGGAAGCUCGUAAGGGUGUGUAGUGAGCCAAUUGACUAAUUUCAUCUUUUAUAACAAUAUUUGACUUCAUAUUCUUCUUGCAAACAAGGAUCAGUAUCUACAACAUAUGAGAAGAUUCUGUUUUGGGAGAAAACGCAAAAUUUCAUCCAUCUUAUGUAGUUCAUCAGUGACUAAGUAUUCAUUUUGGUUCAUUACUUUCAGUAACAUCUCAAAUGAUUUAUAUUGUAAACAAUUUGUUUAGCUUCUGCAUUCGAGCAACUAAGUCCAUUGAGGUGAGGAAAGAGAUGCAACUUACCCGACGAAGAAACCAGCAAAGUGUAAACAAAACACCGAAAGUAUUACUACUCCCAGCUCUCCUGAUAAUAUACUUUUAAGGACUGUCCAUAGAGAUGCAUCAGAGGCCAAUGUGGCACUAACCAUUGACGAUUUGAUACGAAUGACAUUCUCUGAGAAGACACUAAUCAUAAAAAAAAAUAAUCAAAGGUGUGUGAGAGCGAAAAACAGUAAAAGGCUUUUCAUCAAGUUUCCAUGGUAAGCACAACUUAUUGAAGCCAAAAAAAAGAAAAAGAAAACAAUUGUUGAAGAACCGAGACCUGCUAGCAAGCAGCGAGGAAGUUAAAACAGCAACAAGUGGUGCAAAUGGUAACACCAAUUUCACCAGGGAAGGAAAUGCCUUUUGCAAGCAAGAACCUAACAGGAUAGGAGCUACCACCACCUAACCAAAAAACAAGACGAUGGCGAUGACUUAAGAACAUGACUAUGGCUGGAAGGCAAAUGAGGACAUAACUUUACCUGAAGGGUGCUGAGAGAAAGCUGUGCAGCGUCGACUGGAAUAUAAGCUCCUACUAGAAACUUUGUCAGAAAAGGAGUGAAAAUUACGGCUCCUAAAGUUGUGCAUACUGUCAUUACAAUAGACAAAGGAACGUCGCCUUGAGCAAUUAAGGUUACCUGAAAUACUAUUUCAUUGAAGUAACCGUGAACGGAAAACUUAAUCAAUCAACUUAUUGUGAUCAAGGCUGUAAAGUAGGAAAUGCAGUUCAACUGUUGAUGAUUGCAUUCAUAAAGUUUUCCAUAAUGCUUAACUAAGACGACUACUUUGAACACAAAAAUGUGUUACUCAGCCUUAUGGAUGAAAACUCUGUUAAGAAACAUCCAUCUCUCAAAUCGAGUACAAAGAUGCAAUAAAUAAAUUAAUUAGCAGUCAAAUAUCAAGAUGAUUAAUCACCAAUUUCAACUGUAAUAACAACAGCAACAACAAAACUGAGCUAUAUAUUCUUAAUCCAACAUUCGUGUAUAAUUUUUUUGAAUAAACUUUUAGAACAUUUAUAAGCAUCAUCUUCUGGGAAGAAUUUUCAUUAAUUAAGAACAAUACAAUCCUAUUUCUAUCUUUGCGACUAUGAUGUCCGGUAUUAGUUUCUUUCCGUUUUUGUUCUUUUUAAGUUUUUUAUUGACCAUCUGAAUUUUGUUUUAUGUUUUUAGAUUUACUAAGUUCAACAUUUUUUUUAACACUGUUCUUGAAUUAUGUGAUCCAAGAAGAACAUAUUCUGAAAAAACAUUUUUAUGUUUGUAUUGUAUCGAGAUUUUGAAUUCUAAAUUUUAAAAUACAGGAUUAUCUUUUGAACAUUAUUUUAUUUCCUAGUAGGUUGCGGCUCUUCACUCUCUACUCUUUUUUUUUUUUUUUUUUUGCCGUUUUUAGGAGAGAAACAAAAGUUAUAAGAAAUUAAACAGAACAAAUAAGAAAACAGAGAUCAUAGGCAUUAUUACCACAUUGGAAGCAGAUCCUCCAGGACAACAUCCAAGCAAGACCAAACCGAACAAAAGGGACUGGGAAAGUCCCAAAAGUUUUCCGAUCAGCACUGCAGAAGCUGGCAUAAUCGUGUACUGAGCUACACAUCCAAACAAUAUCUAAAACAAAGCAACAGAGUCAAAACCAUCAAGCAUUACCACAAACCCCCGGUUCCAUCCCAUCAAAUCAAAUCAAUAACCAAAAUACACACAAUGUAAACAAAUUCAGAUUCCAAAAACUCACCGAAAGAGGUCUUUGCAUGAACAAAUUAAAUAAAUCCUUGAUCUCUAGAGUAAGCCCCAUGGCCAACAUUAUCAAACCAAGAGAUAAGCUAUAGGAACUCGGCCCUCUCUGCACAAACCACGAGAAGGUCGAGGGUUCGAGGCAAGCAACAAUCCCGCCUGCCGUCACAUAGAGAGGGUAGAGACUAGCCGCCGUGGAAAGAAAAUCGUCCAAACCAGUGGGUUUUGGCGGUGGCGAGGGAGAUGGGUGUUCGUUAUUUUGUUGAACCGAUCGGACGGUGAGUGAUCUGGGCGGCGAGAGAGGGGGAAUUGGGGGUCGGUGAAGGCGGAGAUUAGGGCGGUGGAUUAGUGGAGAAAUGAAGGGGGUGAGUUGCAGAGAAAUCGGAGGCAUUGUGCAGAAUUCUGUGGCUCCGAUUAGUGAAGAAAAGAAGGGGAAUUGAAGGAGAUGAUAGAAAUUGGGUGAAGUGAUGCAUACAAACACGGGUUGUAUUUUGUGAAACGACAAGAUUGUGUUGGGAGAUUAUUAGGAAGCAAGAGAUCGCUAUCAACAAAUUAGUAGAAAUAUUGGUCCAAAGCAAGAGGUUGGAAUUUGAUAGUUUUUCUAACAACAUUUUUUUUCAUCUUUGAGUUCAUUCGUUUUCUAUCACAUGAAGGCUUUGGACAAUUAGUUAAACAAAUUCAUUGCAUAUUGAAAUUUGUUCGUCAGUAAUUCCUCUAUUUUAGAUGGCUUGUGAUCUAUAUGUGUGUGUUUAAUUUUGAAUCUAAUUUUGUUUUCUUUUUAGGACUUCUCUUUGUUUUAUCCUAAAACGAGAGAUAAUGAUGGUGGAAGACUAUGAGGGAGAAACACAGUCUGCAUUUGCCAAUGUAUAAUAAGGUAACUGAAGAUAUGAUUAUUCAAAGUAGACAAAUAUAUAUAUAUAUAUAUGUAUAUAUAAUCAAAUUUUGAAAACAUAUUAGUAAAACACACUCGCCCAGAAAUCAAAGAUCCAAGGGGAGUUUUCUGUUUCCUUUAUUUUGUUCUCGUGUUCUUGUUUUAAAUCUAAUACUUCAGGGACAAAAGCAUGCUUCUAAAGUUGAGUGGUUUGGUUUAGAUUGUUUGCACAAUUUUUGUGUAUUUUUUACCAAAAUUUAAAAAAUUUCGCUUCUCAUAUGCUAAAUUGAGUCUUGCUUGUAUAUUGAUUCAUGCAUGGAUAACCCUUGAGCAUCCCAACUUUGUUUUAUGGUUUUAAUGAUGAUGGAAUGCAUGAAUUGAAUGUAUAUUGAUUCAUUCUUGUUUCCUGAACUAACUAGUUGGUUAUUUGUUCUAUGGUAGAAAGAAUGCAAUAAAAUAUUUUAAUUCCGACUUUAAUUUGAUUGAGAUCAGGACUCUAUUACUUUUAUUGUGCUAAUAUCUUUUUUAAUUACACAAAACCAUUUACUUGCUUUCUCUCUUUUACUUUUUUGCAUUGUCACCACAAAAAACCCAUCUGCACAUCUGAUUAUAUUCUUGAUCUCUUAUUAAAUAUGUACAUGUGUAUUUCCUUAACAUAGAUCCUUUUGGGUUUUACCAUGAACUUACUUUUUGCUACAUUUUUACUAGCUUCUUGGGUUAUGAUUAACUUUGCAUAUUUCUUAAUUAUCUUUUAAUAACACUCCUAUUAACCUUUUGAAUCAAUGGAACACAAGAUAUAUCUAUAACGAGAAGAGUAUAUGUACAAUCAUGAUUAGCCUACUUGAUUAGUGUGUUAGUUUCUUCUACCAUCAAACACAAAUCUCAGUAUGAAUUAGCUAAAUUAAAUACUAGUAAUAAGUUUGCAUGUGAUUUUUGGUUAUAUAAUACACGAUUUGAUUGUGUAAUUUGGAUGAUAUGGAACUUGUUGGAUUUUUGAGAUCAAAAAAUACUUGUGUGUUCAUAGACUCAUUUUCUCUGGAAGACUCAAAAACCAAUUUGCAAACUUGAUUUCAUCCCAUUUCAUGAAGAAUUGAGGGAGAGAAUUUCGAGCUUCAAAGAUAAGCAAUCAAAAUUUUAUUUUCUUAAAUUUUUCCUACCAUGCUUAAUCUUCAAAAUUCGAGUUUUUUAAUUUGAUUCUCUUAUGCUAGCGGGUUAAUUUAACUUUCAAUCUAAUUAAACCCAAACUUCUUCUUCUCUCUCAUCCAAAGAAACCUACUUAGAACAAAAAAAGGAAAUCGAAGGGGAGGGAAAAAAAGGACUUCUUGGAGGAGGAGGAAAAUUAAAGAAGAUUGAGUGAGAAGAAGACUCGCCUAGUGGGUAUAGAUUUGGAGAGAAGAAAAACGGGUUAAUUUUUAAUUUACACUUAUCGUCACUUUUCACCUGACCCACACGAGACCCAAAUCGAGUUGGGUUAGAUAUGUCAUUAUCGGUACAAAACUUAUCUAGAUCAAAUCGGGUCGAUUUAGUUGAAAACUAGACCCAACCAAAAUCGUUUGCACCUAUAUAAUCGUGUGUCAAGUUUACCAACAUCACUAUAAACGAGUGCAUACAAGAUCGACAAGUAUAUCAAUAUAUGAGUGAAGUACAUAAGUAUAUCAAAUGUAUCAAGUGUUAUUUGUUUUUAUGAAUGGUUUGAGCAUUUGCGACAUUUUAAAUUUUUAUAUGCAAGUUGAGCUCUUUUUUCUUCUUUUAUCAUUUUUAAAAACAAAGCAGGUAUAAUUAUGAUUAACUUUUCUUAUUUUCUUACCAACAUUUUUUAUUAUAAUCCACAAACUAUAAUAAUCAAUUGGUGGAUCCAAGAACUCCAAACACUUCCUUAAGCCUUAUUGAAAGUUCAUGAACCAAAAUUAGAAGAGAAAGAAGAAACGAAAAAACAAGGGAGAGAUGUAAUUAGAUGAGAAAGGAGAGGCCUGCAGUUUUGUAGCCAUGGAUGUCAGUUCCAGCCCACCCUGAUGAAUGAAAACAGCCGUCAAAUUAUGAUCAUCAAUCAGAUCAAUGUCCGAUGUAAAGCCCUACCUUUCAACUUGCUUUUUGUAGAAGCCUAUAAGUUAAAGCUUUUAGUAAGGGCUGGGUUUCCCUUCCUCAAAUUGGUAUGUCAAGUUUUUUAUUCCAACUUGAUUUAAUAAUUGAAUUCUUGUUUUUAGUGAGCAGAAGGCUCAAUAUUUCUCCAAAAAGAUCCAAGACUGCUUCCCAUCAUGUUCAUUAUCACAGCUGACAUUGCUGCUGGCAAUGCCACCAUUGCUGAACUGAAAUGUGCUGUUGCCAAAACUACUCCCAAUGAUGAAUUCUGCAUCCCUACCUGAUCAUUUUUCAUUUCAUAUUUUCUAUUUUAAUUUCAAUUCUUUUAUCCAAAAAGAAUAAAAUAAAGAAGGAAUAUAAUGUCAUUUGAGUUCUUAUUCAUAUACCUCAAGGGAUAUAGCUCUUCGUUCUCGUUCUCGAAACCCUCCGAUGGCGGCUAUCGUGUAGCUGUAAAAAGAGGGAAAAAUGAGAUAAACACACGGUUGCUAAUAUGUCAAUUCAUUGUUUACGAUAUUAGCAUUGAUUUUCAAUUGACGGGGGCUCCAUAUUAUGUAUAUAGCUUAAUCAUUACUCUAGAUAGGGUGAACUAUUUUUUUGGCCGAUCUAAUGAUAUAGCUUGAAUUGUGUUUCCCAAGUGGCCUAUAAGUUUAGUUCUAGAACUUAACUAGGAUCUUAUUCCUCUUCUUGAAUCACACUUGGAACUCUGAAUUUAAUUUUCAAUCAAAUCUUUAGUUUUGAUCAAUGUUACGUCGAAAAAAAAUAUAACUGACGUUUGAAUUAACAUGAGAGCCGUAAUUGAUGAACUAAGAUCGUAGAUGAUAUAUGAAUGAAACAAAUUCUAAUUUAAAAUAUGUACAUAUAUGUUAAAAAAUCUACUUAUAAAGGUAUAUUACUCUUCAUACUAACGAUAUGUGUAAUUAGUUUCUGUUUGAUAGCACAAUUACAAAAUUAAAUUACUGCUUCAAAGGUGAAUAAAGUGAUAUUUUAAAUUUUACCAAAAUUAAGUCAUUUUUAUUUAACUUCUUACAAUAAAAACAAAAUUCAGAACUAAUUUUGAAAAUAUUUCAAAAACUAUUUGGAGUGUGUCAACCCUUCAAUGCUUUUUCAAAAUGAUCUAUUUGCAAAAUUUACAUUUCAAAAGUUAAACGAAACUCAUAAUAAAUAUGGAUUUAUUUCACAUAUAAGCUUGACUAUUUUUCUGCUUAAUUCCCAUUUUACUCUCCUUUGAUGAGUACAAGUUUCAACUAGCUAGUUAAUUGAUCUCUCCAACUAUACAAGUCAUCUUACAAUUGUUAGGUCUUCUAAGCAUUCACACAGCCAAAUUCAUGUGCGGACAAAGAGAGAAAGAGAUGGUGACGACUUACCCCACGACGAAACCAGCAAGGUGUAAUGAAAACACUGCAAGUAUUACAAUUCCCAGCUCUUCAGACAACAUCGUUUUUAUGGCAAUCCAUGGAGAUGCGUCGAAGCUCAACGAUGAACUAACAAGUGACGAUUUGAAACGAACUAUAUUUUCUGAGAAGACACUGAUGAAAAAUAAAACAAGGAUAAUUAAUGAAAAAAAGUGCACAAACAAUUUUAAAAAAUGAUAAAAAAUUUAAGAGAAAAAGAAAACCUGCAAGCAAGGAGUGAGGAAGUUAAUACUGCAAAAAGUGGUGAAAAUGGUAUGAUUCUUUUCACCACCCCAGGGCAAGUUUUCUGUAAGUAAGAACCUAUCAAAAUAGGAACUACCACCACCUGUCAAGAAAGAGUUAAAACUAUAUAAAAUCAGUUGACGGUAGUUUGACAUUCUGUAUAGAAUAAGUUUUCGUAAAAGUAGUUUUAUAAUUUGUUUGACCUGAAGAGUACUGAGCGAGAGCUUUAUAGCGUCGACGGGAAUGGAAGCACCGACCAAUGUUCUAGUGAGAAAGGGAGUGAGAACUACAGCUUGGAGAGUGGUGCAUACUGUCAUUAUAAUAGACAAAGGAACAUCCCCUCUAGCAAUUAAAGUUACCUGAAAUAUGAUUUACUUUAACCCUUUAAAAUUAAUUUAAUAUUUUAGCUUACACACCACAACUUAUCUAUGAUAAAAUUUAUUCGUGAUAGACUUCUCGGUUGCUUAUAUGGUUUUUAGUGAUUACUACUACAAAUUUGACCUUCUUUGAUAUAUGCAAAAUACGUCAAAAAAUGUCUACUACAAAUUUGGUCUUCUUUGAUAUGCAAAACACAUAAAAAAAAUGUGUACCGUAGGCAGAUAUCAAGAAAGCCUGAUCAUCAAGAAAACUAGUUUAACAUGUAAUAAAAACUUAUUCUUUUUUUCUCACACCCACCUUAGGUGAGAAUUGUCCCUAACAAUUGUAACAUUGAUGACCAAAUUUAUAAACCGCUUCUACAAAUUUUUAAUACAGGUGUGGGAAUUUGUACCCGACACUUCUUGUCCAUAGAUAUAUACAUGUGUCAGUAGAGCUAAGCUUAUAUUCUACAACUUAUACAAAUUUUAAAAACUCUAAAUUACAAAUUUUUAAUUCAACUCAUUAAAGUUGAACACACAGUGACUAAUUUAGUUUUCAUAAAGUUACUUAUUUCAAUCUAAUUAUGAUUACAACAGUUAACUUUUAAAAAAGUAAUAUUAUAUUAUAAAUGUAUAGACAUUAAUAAUUGAAAAAAAAAUAGUAAAGCUUUAAGAAUACUAUUGAUGAAUAUUGUGUUUUCUGAGUCCAUUAUCGAAGGUCCGAAUUUCGUGCUUACUAAAAAAUAGUAUUUCGUGCUUACUAAAAAAUAGUUUUUUCAUGAUGGACAAUGCCUAUCAAAAUAUCAUUUUUUAUGAGUCUUGCCCACGAUCUUAUCCUAAAUUCAGAAUUAAAAUUUUUUAAUUGAUGGACAAUGUCCAUCAAGAUAUCAUUUAAUUUUCUUGAUGGACUUUGCCCAUCAUUUUUUUUUUGUCUUUGUCCAUCAAGAAACCCUAGACCCAUCAAAAAAACUCUGAACACAUGAAAAAAAUCCAAAGCAAAUAUAUUAAUUUUUUUCGAUGAUGACCAUUGCAAAUCAAGAAAAUUCAUUCCUUGAUGGACAUCGUCCAUCAAGAAAACCUAUCUACUUGAUAAAUAUUGUCAGUCAACUAAUAUACUAUUUUUUAUGUUUAUUGUCCAUCGAGAAAUAAUUUUAUUAAAUAAGGUGAUUUUUUUUUACGUACAUGACCGUUAAGAUAAACAUUGUAUCAAGAAAAAUAUGGUCAUUUGUCAUGACCAUCAAGAAAUAAAAAAUUUGUGUGUGUCAAGAAAGACCAAAUUUGUAGUAGUGAAUAGAAAAAUAUUUGCAACAUGGUCUAUUAGUAAUGUAUUUGUAUUAUUUGGUAGAAUUUGAGAUAGUCGGUUAUAUUUGAAUUAAUUUUUAAAAUGAUGUCAUAUAUUUAAUUAUUUUAAAAGUUAAUAAUAUUAUCUCUUGUUUUAUUUUAUUUGAAAAUUUUAGUUGUCUUCUUGUCACCCUCAUUUUUUGAAAAUUUUGAAAUUAUAUUUAAUGUAUUUCAAUUUUUUGUUGGGUAACAAAUAUAAUAUACCCAAACAAAGAGUAUGCUCAGAAAAAAAUAUAUUAUAAAUCGUUUAAUAAAAAUAUUAAUUACAUAAACAAACAACAUAGAGGCCAAAACACCAAUCCCAUCCUUGGAAAUUGAGAAUUGAGGGAAAAAGAAAAUAAAGAAAGAAGAGAAGGACAAACAAAUUACCACACUCGAAGCGAUCCCCCCCGGACAACAUCCAAGCAAGAUCAAUCCCACGGAAAGCGCUGGCGCUAACCCAAGAAACUUUCCGAUCGCUGCUCCCACCACCGGCAUAAUUGUGUACUGAGCUACACAUAAAUAUAAUAUCUGACCACCCAAAGAAAACAAAACGAUCAACGAACUCAUAAUCAUUUUCACAAUGGAGAAUAAUCUAUGUCGAAAAAUGUUAUUCCAAAUCACCAUGCACCCUACUUUUUAAAAAAAUCAAAUUGCUACCUCACAGUCUAUCAUUGGAGCUAGCCCGCAGCUUGGGAUGAAGAAAUGGGUGUAUCUAUCUAAGAGAAAGCUUCAUAAUUUAUAUUGACUUUCACAUACAACUUGAUAUCUUAUAUGAUAUCAGAGUCUGUUAAAUCGAAGAAUAGCAUUUCAAGAGAUAAUUUUCUUUUUUAUAUAAAAAAAAAACUCACAGAAAGUGGCCUCUGCAUGAAGAGAUUGAACAAAUCCUUAAGCUCAAGAGUGAGUCCCAUGGCCAACAUAACCAAACUAAGAGCCAAGCUAUAGGAACCCGGCCCUCUCUGCACGAACCACGAGAACGUCGACGGUUUCAUGCAAGCGACAAUGCCACCACUUGUUAUAUAAAGAGGGAACAGCCCCGCGGCGGUCGAAACAAAUUUCGCCAAACGGUCAGUUUGUUUUUGGGGCGGUGGUGGCAGUGGCAGAAGCUCCGUAUCUCGUUGUAGUGAUCGGACGAUAGCGAGGUAUCCGGGUGGUUUCGGGGGUGGGAGAAGAAGAGGGUUGAGCCGGAGGGGCUUGUAGAAAUGACGACCCUGGUGCAGAGAAGGGGAAAAGAAAGGGGUAAACUGAAGAGAAAUAGAAGACAUUUGAUGAAUAGAGAAUGAGAUGAAGAGAAUAAUGGUUUUGGUUUUGUUUGUGUGUUUUCCCAAAAUGAAGGAUCAAAUAAAUAAGUACAUCACUCCCUCAGUAUUUCUGUGUGAUUCUCCGAUCAUGCCUUUGUAGUUUUUGGCCUCUUCUGCCCAAUUAACUUUUUUACAUUUCACUAUAAAAUCAUAUCUUAAUUUAAUUACUUAAUCCUAUCAUUUCCCUUGUCCUUUAUCAAAAUUAGAUUAUUGUCUUAUUUAAGACGAAUAAUGUAGGUGGGCUAAAUUGAUUACAAAGAGAUAGAUGAUAGAGACAUUUUAAAAAAUAAUAUAAAUUAACAACAAAAAUUUAUUUUGAGAUUUAUUAAAAGUAUGAAAAUUAAGUUUAGGUACAUGGAAGACUUUCAUAAUAAAAUACAAUAACUUCUAACUUAAGACUAAAUUAGUUGCAUUGAACAAUAUUUAGAAUAAUAUUACAAUUAAUGUAGAAAUGAAAUAUUCAAAUCUAUUAUUUAAGAGUCAUGCUUUAAUCAUCCAACUAUAUUAUUAUUGUUUUUUAUUUUAAAAAUAUUUCAAUAUUUAUCUAAGUUUUUUUUUCUAUUAAAUAUUUAUAUUUUGAGUUGACUUUUAAAAAGUAAUUGUAAUUGAUGGAUAUUUUUGAAAUAAUAAUUAAGGAUAUAUAAAUAUUUUUAAAAAUUGUAAAUAUAGCAAAACUAUCGUUGAUAGACUCGUAUGAUUUAUCAAUAAUAAACCAAUAUUUACAAUAUAGUCUAUCGGUAAUUGACUUGUAUCAUUGAUAGAAUUUGACAAAUUUUGCUAUAUUUGUAAAUUUUUUAAAAUGUUGUUAUAUACUCAAUUAUUUUGAAUCUAAUUGCUUAAUCUGCAACUACCCCUCUAAAAACGUAAAACAUUUUGACAUAUAAAUGAGAAUCUUUAUUUUUUCUUAUAAACGAUUUUUUUUUUCACAUUUAUGACAUAUAAAAUAUAAACAAUUUUUUCAUACUUUUUUUAUUAUUUAGGUCCAUAAAUUUGGGUUGCUAAAUCUUAACAAAUUUUUAAAAAUUUUUAUUUAGAUUUCAGGUUUAAAUUUGGGGUAGCUAAAUCUUAACCAUUUUUUAAAGAUUUUUUUGGUGUUGUUUUUAAAGAAACGAUGAAAAGAAUGACAAACCUAAAAUAUUUAAAUGGAUAGUUGUAAAUUUAGCAAUUAGAUUCAAAAUAAUUAAGUAUAUAGCAACAUUUUAAAAAAUUACAAAUAUAACAAAAUUUGUCCAAUUCUGUCGAUGAUAAAAGUCGACAGACCAUGUUGUAAAUAUUAGUCUAUCACUGAUACUUGAUAGUUUUGUUAUACUUGCAAUUUUUUUAAAUGUUGCUAUAUUCUUAAUUAAUUAUUAUUUCUAAAAUGGUCAUUCGUUUCAUGGAUUUUUUUUUUAUUUUGUUAUACGAACCGUAAAUAUUUUUUCAUUUAUUAUAUUUAUAAAAAUUAAUAAAAAUAUUAUUAUUAGUAUAAUAUGGAUAACUUAAAGUUUAUGAUAUCACUACAAUAUAUAUAUUAUAUUGAUGAAUUUUUAAAUAUAUGGAUGGAUUUUCUUCGAAAAAUAAAUUAUAAUUAUCACAAAAUUUUUUAUAGAAAAAUAGUGCGUACAAACUUAUUUGAGUACUUAACUAUCAAAUUAUUUAACUUAAUUCGUAUCUUAUUCUAUUUUGGUUUAAAUUUCUAUCUGAAUUUCUAAACUUUAUAUCUUAUGUUAUUUAGCUUUCUUGAACUUCUAAAAUUGACUAUUUUAGUCUCUAAAACUUUUUUGAAAAAUGUCCUGCCAUUCAAAUUGAAUAAUGGUAUGACUUUUAUAUUUGGAUGAUUAUGAUCUCGAUAAAUCAUAUUACUUAAAUUGGUACAUAACUAUAAAAAAUAUCUUGUUAAUUUAUUCUAUAAAUUCUUUCAACAAAAAAACUCAAUUAGUACAUUUAUCAAAUAAAUCCAAAAUCUAAUUUUUUUUUUCUUUUUCUUCUCCAAAACACAAAUGUUCAAAUCUCUCACAUCCCCUACUCGGCUUCCUCGUCUCCCUACUAUUCUUCUUUAUAUAUAUAUAUAUAUUUUGGAAUCUUGAAACAAAUGAAAAAAAAACAUUUAGUAUAAUAAAAAAAAUUGACAUAUAUGUGUUUCAUUAUGAUAAGAUAAAAUAAACUAAAAAUGUAAAAUAUGUACAAUUCAAGCAUAAAAUAAACUCUAUGAAAUUGCAGAAAAAUAUUCCCACAAUUAAUCACAUACCCCAAGAAAAAGAAAGAAUCGAGAACAAAAGAAAAGAAAAACACCUUAAUGAAUCACAACAUAACCCAAACUUGAGGCAUUAAAAGGUUUGUAUGUAGAUGAAACUACAUCUAGCAUGCAUUCAUCAAGUAAAGUAAAACGUCAAAACGGCGAGAAUCAAAAUCUUGAAUGCAAAAUAACCUUUUAAAGUUUUUCGAUAAAAUAUCAAUAUAUUUGUCAUGUAUGCCUCUAAUUAAAAAUUAAAACUCUAUAUUUUUAAAAGUGAUUAUCUCAUACUACAAAACAUCGACAUAGCCUGAAAAAGCGUCAACAAAAGUUGUUAACUAACGCCUUCUAAGCAUCAGUAGAAACCAUCAGGAGAGCCUAUAUGGACGCCUUUUUUAGCAUCGGUAUAAACUGUUUAAUAUAAUGUCAACGCAUAAAAAUGGUUGGUUUUUCCAACGUCAGCUCAGAGACGUUGACAAAACCACUCUAGGUCGACACAUUGUUAUGGCCUCGGGGCUUUCUCGACAACUGCAUGUGUAUACAUCGGGGUAUGUUACUUGAUAUACAUUGAAAAUGCUUCCUAAAUGUUACAUAUUGCAUCGAGAUAGACCACUUCUACUAAAAUCCCAAAGCCUAAAGCGCCUUCAUUUUUCCAUAAGAAAUAUUUUAUUUUUAAAAGCAAUAUAUUUCUCUUAGCUUUGAUUGUAGCUAAAUUUAUUGAUAAAAUAUUUACAAACAAUCUAUCUAAAGCAAAGUAUUUCAAAAACAUACAACAACGUUUAUUUAAAUAGUCAUAAGCAUCCUUACAAAAAUCUCAAAACAAAAUAACUUAUAUUAAUUUAGAGUAGCAAAACACAUUAGUCAUAAAGUUUUUUGAACAUAAAAAGAUACCCGAGUUUAACAUAGCACAUAAACAUUGGCCAAAAUAAAAGUUUAACUUAUAUAUAUCUAAACACAUUAUUCAUACAAACCAUAUAAAAAUCGAAUCUCACAUUCUCCAAAUACAACAACAAUUGCAAGCAAUCGUUAACUCGUUAUUCUCAAUUCUUUAACUCGUAUUUUGUUAACACAUACAAAAACAAAA